rnacentral:lncRNA from 1 species
GCAGAAAAAUAUAUUUGAUUUGUAAUUAUAAUCAUUAAAAAGUCUCUGUUAGUCGAUAACAUCUUAAAAAUUGCAGCAAACCCAGGAAUGUCCCUUUAAUAAUAGCAAAUCUGAACGAAAAAAACGUAAUACACAAUGUACGUGAUUAGGGCCAUAUCUCUGCACAAUGCAGAGUCAAAUGGAUAUUUAGCAAAAUAGUGGUGAAUUCCAAGACUCUCUAUCUAGUACCUAGUCUGUAGGAGGACAGCCAUUCCUGAGGAGAUCCUUCCCUGAACAAUACACCCUUCCUGCACCGCUCAAAAGAGGACUCUCAGACUAGUUUACAAGAUCAAAACUAGCACUGGACACAGCUCAUUGGAAUAAGUACAGCUGUGAUGACAUGCACUCAUGAAUCACUGUCAUAUCACUGUAUUUAAUGACACACUCAAAUCAUUUCAAUUACAACGACAUGGUGUUGAACAUAUUAUGGUUAAAGACCACACAGAUAAUUAGAAGGAAAACCUGUUGCCAUCAUGCAAUGGUCUACAUUUUCUGAUUAGAAGCAAGGGAUACAUGUACCUCGAUUGGAGGUAUAGAUGCCAAUUUAUAUUGAAGAAUGGCAUCUAACAGGAGAAACAUAAAAUUGAUGAUCUGUUCUGAAUGUUUAAUUAUUUAAAAUAUACAAUGUAGUUUGUGAAUGCAGCUUUAAUAAUGUAGUACAAAUAUUUAUUGAUAAGCAAGCAAACCUACAUUUAAUCAAAGAAACAUAUUUACAUAUUCCAUAACGACAUUCUAAAAAUUGCCAGUUUGUUUUGUUUAAAUGUUAUCUGAUGUCUGUUACGAAAGCAAUGUGUAUAUCUGUAAAUACACAUCUAUACACUUUUUAAAAAAUACGGAGCUAUCACUUGGUCCAGAAAUAUGUGCUACAAUACAUUUCUGACUGUGCAAUAUGUUACCACAACCCAGUACCUGUCUAAGUCUUGCAAUGCAACUUACUUGUAAAAUUACAUGGUAGAGUAAUACUGUUACAGAGUUGAAUAGACAUCUUGUGUUAAAUGUUAGUUUUGGGUGAAUAAUUGUAAAGUCAAUUUAAAGAGAGAGAAAUUCUGAAGUCCAUGCAGUUAUUUAUAUGCCACAGCAGUAUGUAAUGGUCACAGUGAUACUAAUAUGUUUUGGGAGAGAGGAUGGAUAGGGAGAAAGAUAAUUUCUUGGUUCCCCAAAAUAAAUAAAACCUGGGCAAUGACAAUGCCACCACCACAUCACAGUAAUUAAAUGCUCUUUAACAUAUACUAUUUUAAUAUUAUAUAUCUUUAUUCUGCUCUCUAACUAUUUGCACCAUUUGUUUUUCAUAAGAAAAUAGUUUUUGUUGUUGUUAAAUUGGCAUUCUUAAAACCUGUUGUCCAUGGGGAAAAUUAAAUUGGCAUUCUAUUCUUAAAAACUGUUGUUCACGGAGAUAAUUAAAUAUUCCUUUAUUAAACCUCUCGCCCAUGGGGUAGAUACCCCAUCAGUUAAACCCUCACUAUCCCACAUACUGCACAGUCAUUAACACUGCUACAUGUUUGCUAAUUAAAACACUGCAUGUCAGUGUUGUGCAUUAGGCCUAUGUGACUUCGUACUAAUCCAAGAUAUUCACAUUGUAUGGGUUUGUGUUGUUUGUUUAGUGAAUUCCUAUACAGUGCUAAAUUUAAUAUCUUCACGCAAUUAUACUUCUUUGUUGUGAAAAUCUUAUUAUUAUUUUCAUGUUAUUAGAACAUUUAUUUAUUGUUACACUUUUAAUAUUUUAUAGAUUUGCUUGAAUUGUAAAGUAUGCUGCAUUAUAUUUACAUAGCUCUUUUGGAAACAGCAUGUAUCAGUUAAUAUUUGAGUGUGUUGGAUUGGUGUUGGGGGGUUUUAAUAUUAAUACACAGCUACAAGGAUAACAUUUGUUUCAAUAUACCGUACACAAAGUUAACAAAGAAUAUUUUUUACCUUUAUGGUUUUAGUAUUGUUUGGUUUUUAAAUAUAAAGAUGACAAAAACAUUAUUUUAAAAUAAACACAAUAGUUUAAUACAUGUACAAGUACCAGGUGCAAUCCAGUUUGCAGCAGCCAUUCUAGAGGUAACUAUAAUGUAAUGCAUUUAAUCAAAUGAUAACAAUUUAUUUUAUAUUUAUUCUAAUACAUUGGCAAUGUACUAUCAGUUCAGGAAAUGCAGCUAACUUUUGUUGUGUAUAAAUAAUUGUGUGCAAUGGCAUGUUCACCAAAUUCAAAAGGUGAAGGCAUGUUCACCAAAUUCAAAAGGUGUAGGCAUGCACUUGUAACGUUUUUUCCCCCAACAAUUGAUAUUCUGGUUUUUUGCAUAAUAAUUGUUCUCAUGGAAUAUUAGUGUUUUUGUCGUAUACAGUUAAAGUUAUGUUUAAGUAAAUUUUUAUUCCAGUGACCUGAUAUUUACAUUACCCACCUACACACACACACACACACUCUCUCUCUCUCUCUCUCUCCCCCAGUUUUAAAUACUAAUCAUUAAAAUGUGAAUCUGAUGUAUGCUAUUUUCCUGUAUAAACGUCUUGCAAAACUCUUAGUUGUGCAAUUUGUUACUUGUAUUUUUCUUACAGUUUGUGAAAACAGAUCUGCAACCAUUUAUUUUUGUUUGCUCAAAUUGUAGAGCAAUUAUUGUGUACUUGCACUGUGAUAUUGUUUCAUUUAUGCCCAGUAAUUACAAUGAAUGAGAUGAGGUGUAUCAUCAUUGUCAAUGUUUGAUGUUUGGGGUGUGCCACAUGCAGACAGUAAUUAUAAUGUAUGAGAUGAGGUGUAUCAUCAUUGUCAAUGUUUGAUGUUUGGGGUGUGCCACAUGCAGACAGUAAUUAUAAUGUAUGAGAUGAGGUGUAUCAUCAUUGUCAAUGUUUGAUGUUUGGGGUGUGCCACAUGCAGACAGUAAUUAUAAUGUAUGAGAUGAGGUGUAUCAUCAUUGUCAAUGUUUGAUGUUUGGGGUGUGCCACAUGCAGACAGUAAUUACAAUGUAUGAGAUGAGGUGUAUCAUCAUUGUCAAUGUUUGGGGUGUGCCACAUGCAAACAGUAAUUACAUGUACUUAACUAUUUCGCUGUAUCAGGAGCAUGUCACAUGUAUGGAGAUUGCUCCAUAAGGACAACUAACAUCUACAUCAUUCUUAUGCAGAAAAGCAAAUUUAUGGAAACAGCAUGAUCUCUACAUUUUAAUUAACUGAUAUUAGAUGCCAGGUGUAAAGAACACUAUGCUAAGUUGCACCUCAAUUAUAUGAUAUUAAACAAGCUUCCAUUUUGUAUCAUGUUUAUGUCUCGAGUAAAAUAAUUUUCAAUUGUCACGAGCAGUAGAGAAUGUAUGUACUAGUAUUAAUAAACUAUUUUAAAGCAGCAAUGCUAAAAUCAAUAUGUAUAUGUAAGGUCAUGAAAUAAAGUGUUCUUGCUAAUAAAUGAUUCUUAUGUGAAAA